rnacentral:lncRNA from 1 species
CAUCGAAUAGAUUUUUUAAUUGCUGUUUUGAAUAAUAAAUUUGGCAUUUAUUUGCAUAUCCAUACACAUACAUUAUUUUUCAUAAGUUUUUUUCACGUGGCAGCAUCAUAAUCUCUCCAUCUCAAAAUUUCUACUCUCAAUUAUUGUGACCGCUCGCCUUCCUUGUAAUAUCUGCCUCUUCGGCUUUCUGUUUCAUUAACCUAUACACAUAUAUUAUUUUUCAUAAGUUUUUGCCAUGUAGCAGCACCAUAAUCUCUCCAUCUCAAAAUUUCUACUCUCAAUCAUUGCGACCACUCGCCUUUCUCGUAACGUCUGCCUCUUCGGCUUUCUGUUUCAUUAAUUCCUUCCCCGUAACGCCUACCUCUUCGGUUUUGUUUCAUUAAUUCCUUCCCUGUAACGUAUGCCCAUUCGGCUUUCCGUGUCAUUAAUUCCUUCUCUGUAAUGUUGCUGCUUUGACUUCCCGCAUCAUUAGUUUUUACUUUUUAAGAGGCAUUGCGCGAGGAGCCUGUGGACACGACAUACGGCGUUCUCGACAACGACCUUGCCUACUUCGUUCGCUCCAACCUCAAGCCCUGUAGGCGCGUUCCCUUCACUCUAAUCGUCAACGUCAGGUAAGUCGAACUCUAACCCUAGCCCCCAACCCUCUUCCCUCAAUCCCGACCACUUAAAAUUGUAAUGUAUAGUUAUGCAAAGGGUGUGUAUCCCUCUUCUCUAAUGGCCUCGGAGGAAGAGAAGUAUCAACUAAGAUAUGGAUUUGCCGAAAAGGGAUUGAAGGCACUGUUGUACUUCACGAAAUCGUUGAUGUUAAUAGAGAAUGCCCUAAAUGAGGGUAUAAAGGGGUCCGAUACUUAUAUAACAAAUUUUUUUCUCCUAUAGUUUUUUUUUUAUCUUUCGUGGUUUUUCAUUGUAUUAUAAUUCUAUUCUAAAAUUUUUAAAGUAUUUUUUAUAUUAUUAAAUUUAAUCAAGUAUUAUUAUAUCCACCGCAUCGCAUAGGUUCCUACACUAUGGUUGAGUGCAAUACAAAGAGAAGGG